GGAAGCUUCUCCACAGCCUCAGGUCAAUGCAGUGCUCUCUUGGGGGUCAGUGCCUGGCAGCACAGAAAGUCUGAAAUUCUCAGCAGCCAGGGCUCCAACAGGUGCUGAAAUCCAUGGAAACGAUCCAGUAAAAUACUUUUCCUGAAAAAAAAACAACAAAAACUUGACUCAAGGCCAAACAUUUAAUGGAGCUACACAGACUUGAGAAGUGAAAGGCAAGAAGAAAAUGGUAAAGGCAAGGGCAUAGAACUUAAGAUUUAUUAGCAACUUACAAUGUUCCAGCUUAAUGACCUUCCUGGAAAUUCAGGACACUGAACAGCCCCCAGAAAUGCCUUUGGGACUGUACUGGAGAGGCUGGAUUUUUGAAAGUCUUAGUAGGUUUUUUAUGGAAAAGGAAUGUUCCUCUGAAUGGCUGUGGCUCCCUGGGAACUGAAGUGAGCAGCUGUGAGGUGUUGGGCUCCAGGCUGCAUUUAAACCGCAAGACUCCUGUUCAGCCAGAUCUAGAGGAUUCCAGAGAACUGAAACUCCACUCAGUGAAUCAGAACUCCAAGCACAAAUGCUCAAGAUAUUCCUUGACAUAAAAAUAAAGUAAAUUUAGGAGUGGACAAGGGAGACAACACCUCAGCUGUGCAGAUGAUUACUGGGUAAGAGUACCCCACUCAGUGUCAGCAGCACUGCAGACGUAACCGGCACAAGAAUUCAUUGAAAGGGAUGGAGGAAAGAAGUGAGAGAGAAGAGAAAAAAACUCUGCAGGAGUUUUUAGGACUGGAUCCUUUCUAUUUUGAGGGAAGACCAGUGAGAAGGCAAAAAAAUGAUCAAAAGAAACUCUGGAGUCAUGGAGGGAACAUGGACAAGAGACAAGACUUUCUGUCCAACUGAAGGUUUCAAGUGUAUCAUCAAAUCUGUUUGAAGAACACUUAGAAUACACUGAAAUUCUGGACUUGGGAAGCUAUCAGUGAAAUUUACUUUGACUUUAAUAGAAGAGGGUCUCCUUUCAGCAUUUUUUAUUUGAGGGCUUUUUCAAGGACUUUGAGUGCCGAGAGUCAGCAAU